rnacentral:rRNA from 1 species
UCUCCCUACGGGAGGCAGCAGUGGGGAAUAUUGCACAAUGGGGGAAACCCUGAUGCAGCGACGCCGCGUGAGUGAAGAAGUAAUUCGUUAUGUAAAGCUCUAUCAGCAGGGAAGAAAAUGACGGUACCUGAGUAAGAAGCCCCGGCUAACUACGUGCCAGCAGCCGCGGUAAUACGUAGGGGGCAAGCGUUAUCCGGAUUUACUGGGUGUAAAGGGAGCGUAGACGGCAGGGCAAGUCUGGAGUGAAAGGAGGGGGCUCAACCCCCGGACUGCUCGGGAAACUGUACGGCUGGAGUGAAGGGGGG